UAUUCAAUUCCAGUUAAUAAAUUUUCUGUUGGAAACUGCAUCCAGGGGGUACUUCAGUGAAUGAAGUUAGCAGCUGCAAACAAACAAACAAACAAGUCCCAGUAAUAAAUAAUCAGGGUGACCUCACAUGUUAGUUAAAUGUUUAUCUUUUUUUUCUCACUUAGGCCAUCAUAAAGAAGAGGAAUAAGAACAUUCCACAGAGGACAACAUGUACAAGCAGUUUAGUUAUGUUUUCCUACGGUCCUCCUUCCCUGAUGCACUCGUGUGAGUGUAGUUUGUUCUCAAACAGAGAAGAAGUGAUUUCACCAGCUCCUGCGGGCAAAAUUCCAGCCUCAAGCCAACUUGUGCAUCUUUGCUGGAGCUUGCGUGGUCCGAAUUAGGAGUGGCAGAAGAAGUAGUCUCCCCUUCCUGUAACGAGCAGGAUGGCAAUGCAGGUAUCCGAUGGGUCUGUUGGUUGUCAUGGCACUCGGUGCAAAGGAGCGGAGCUGUCCCAGCCCCGCGCUGGGGGAAUUCAAAAUGAAAAUAAGGACAAUUAGCAUGAUCCUUCAGGAUUUCCUUUUCCCCAGCUGCAUUUGCAAAUACGUAUUUACAUUUAUGGGAUGGAAUUCAGUGACAAGAAUGAUCUGAAAUUAAAUUAUGAGAUGGACUGCUUGGAACAGUCAGCUGUAGAAAGAAAGCAGAGUAAGAGAGAACAAUCUAUCCAGGAUGCUGCCAGGCCAGGCUGCAGAGAAGCGACAAUCUAUAUUCAUUAAAGAUAUUUAAUAACUUUCUAAAAAAAUAAAUGUAAAAAAUAUCUCAAGUCAGGAAAUACGAACCUAAUAUUGAUUAAGCAUUUGAAAAGGGAUUUUUCUCAAUAAAGGAAACCAUAUUUUCUACUCA